GCCUGGCUGGCUCAGUUUGUAGAGCUUGAGAUUCCUGAUCUUGGGGUUGUGGAUUUGAACCCCACACUGGGUG
rnacentral:tRNA from 1 species